rnacentral:rRNA from 1 species
GGCGGACGGGUGAGUAAUGCCUAGGAAUCUGCCUGGUAGUGGGGGAUAACGCUCGGAAACGGACGCUAAUACCGCAUACGUCCUACGGGAGAAAGCAGGGGACCUUCGGGCCUUGCGCUAUCAGAUGAGCCUAGGUCGGAUUAGCUAGUUGGUGAGGUAAUGGCUCACCAAGGCGACGAUCCGUAACUGGUCUGAGAGGAUGAUCAGUCACACUGGAACUGAGACACGGUCCAGACUCCUACGGGAGGCAGCAGUGGGGAAUAUUGGACAAUGGGCGAAAGCCUGAUCCAGCCAUGCCGCGUGUGUGAAGAAGGUCUUCGGAUUGUAAAGCACUUUAAGUUGGGAGGAAGGGCAGUUACCUAAUACGUAUCUGUUUUGACGUUACCGACAGAAUAAGCACCGGCUAACUCUGUGCCAGCAGCCGCGGUAAUACAGAGGGUGCAAGCGUUAAUCGGAAUUACUGGGCGUAAAGCGCGCGUAGGUGGUUCGUUAAGUUGGAUGUGAAAUCCCCGGGCUCAACCUGGGAACUGCAUUCAAAACUGACGAGCUAGAGUAUGGUAGAGGGUGGUGGAAUUUCCUGUGUAGCGGUGAAAUGCGUAGAUAUAGGAAGGAACACCAGUGGCGAAGGCGACCACCUGGACUGAUAC